rnacentral:rRNA from 1 species
CAGCACCUCAAGUGGUCAGGAUGAUUAUUGGGCCUAAAGCAUCCGUAGCCGGCGCUGUAAGUUUUCGGCUAAAUCUGUACGCUCAACGUACAGGCUGCCGGGAAUACUGCAGCGCUAGGGAGUGGGAGAGGUAGACGGUACUCGGUAGGAAGGGGUAAAAUCCUUUGAUCUAUUGAUGACCACCUGUGGCGAAGGCGGUCUACCAGAACACGUCCGACGGUGAGGGAUGAAAGCUGGGGGAGCAAACCGGAUUAGAUACCCGAGUAGUCC